CCUGAUUGUCUCUGGCUUGAGCUAACCAGGUUGCAUGACAAAGUACUUAAUAAAAACUACAGAUGCAGAGAAUUUUGGAAAUUUUUAAAAGACAGGAAAAAAGGUGGUUGAGGCAGAAAAAGGUAGUUCUAGAGUGAGAGGGGUUUCUUUCCUCCUCUUGGCUCACAGCAGAGGCCAAGUCCUUAGCAGUAUUUCCAGAGCAGGUGAAUGAGACUCUCUGAAGGCCAGCCCAGGGGUCUGCCUUGUAACACGUUCCCCCAGCUUCUCAUGUACACCACCACUCUUCGGGGACCACCACCUUCUGGGUUGGAUGGGUCUGGAAGAUUCUACGAAUACAUCCAGCCCUACCUGAGCAUUUGCAGAAAGCCUGCUCUGUGAGGGAGGGCAGUCCCAAAGCUCUCUGUGGUAGACACAGAACCCAACAGGGACUACUGGUGCCACACUCUCUCUUCUGUCAGAGAAGCACCCAAGUGAGCCAUGACUUUGACAUUGCAUGGCCAUCUUAUGUUCAUUCCUCAAACUUUGUCAUGUUAAUGUGUACUCUCUCAGGGACAUCAUACCUAACACGGCUGCCUUGAAGAUCUGCUUCGUUUAGAAUAUGCUAGUGAGGACAGUCCUGGAAUUUCUUUGUCUCUUUCCAGCCCCGCUUUCUCCACCUCCAGUCGUUUUCUGAGGACCGGUUUGGUGGGUGCUGAUGCCUGCCUGGAAGACCUCACACCCACAGUGUCUUGGAAGAUUCUGAAAGCAGUGUGAGACCAGAAUGACCAGCAAAGGAGAAAAGAACAAGGACGCAUUGCAGCCAGAAUGGAGCUAGAAUCUUGCCUCUGUCUAUCCUUCACUGGAGUUAUCCUGGAUGGAGAAGGAACCAUAUCACCUGCAAAGCCUGGAAGGGGAGCCCUGCUGUGAGCGAUCCAGUGUUCAAGCUGGUCAUCAGGAGAAAGCUACUUAUGAUUUCCUAACAAGCCACCACAGAACAUCACAUUCCCAAACAUGCUCUUCACCGUCCCUGCUGUCCCCACGUGGCUGGCCCUGGUGUGGGCAGGAAUGAGUGGGAUUGGGAUGUUUUCUCACAGGUCUUUCUCAGGUGAGGCCCCAGGCUGUGACCAGGCCCCUGCCCUGCAUGUGACUCAGGCCUAGCCCCUGCUGGGGCAGGAAUGCCACCCAGCACAGCAUCCUACUGGUGCCUGAAUAAAGAAUGGACUGGAGGUUCACCUGAAAGGGGCUGCCAGGUUUCUGCGGGGGCCAGCCAACGGCUCACAAUGACCCUGUGUUCAAUUCAUCUUACGAUGAAAUUUUUCAGCUUGACGAACUUUUACUCAUCUUUCAAGGCUCGGCUCAAAUGUUAUUUCCCUGGGAAAACUGCGCUACUUUCAGCAAAAUGCAUUUCCUUUUGAUGGGCAUCUGUUUUUUUCUUUUUUUUUUUUUUUUUGAGACAGGGUCUCACGCUCUUGUCCAGGCUGGAGUGCAGUGGUGCAAUCUUGGCUCACUGAACCUUCACAAUGGGCAUCUGUUUCUGUUCUAUGGAGUGACCUAAAAGUCAAGAAUCAUGGAGAAAUUGGGAGCAAUGGUUCACGCCUGUAAAUCCCAGCACUUUGGGAGGCUGAGGCAGGCGGAUCACUUGAGGCCAGGAGUUCGAGACCAGCCUGGCCAACGUGGUGAAACCCCGUCUCUACUAAAAAUACAAAAAAAAAAAAAAAAUCUGUUAGCUGAGCAUUGUGGCGUGCGCCUGUUAUCCCAGCUACUCGGGAGGUUGAGGCACAAGAAUUGCUUGAAGCUGGGAGGGGGAGGUUGCGGUGAGCCGAGAUCAAGCCACUGCACUCCAGCCUUGGUGACAGAGUGAAACUGUGUCUCAAAAAUUAAAAAAAAAAAAAAAAUCAUGGGGAGAAUUUAUUGUUAAACAGAAUAUUAGUUACAUUUUCAAAUAAUAUAGUCAAUAUGUUUUUCUGUAACCCUUAGAUAUGUUUUCAGAUGAAGUACCUCUAAAUGUAAAGAAAUGGGUCCAAUUGUUAAUUUUUUUAAAGGUUCAAGAAAUACACUACUUUCUCUGGCUUUUUCCUUACAACUCUUUCUUUUUUUUUUUUUUUUUU